GACCAUGGCUCAGAUUGAACGCUGGCGGCAGGCUUAACACAUGCAAGUCGAACGGUAACAGGAGAGAGCUUGCUUUCUUGCUGACGAGUGGCGGACGGGUGAGUAAUGCUUGGGAAUCUGGCUUAUGGAGGGGGAUAACGACGGGAAACUGUCGCUAAUACCGCGUAGAGUCGAGAGACGAAAGUGCGGGACCGCAAGGCCGCAUGCCAUAGGAUGAGCCCAAGUGGGAUUAGGUAG
rnacentral:rRNA from 1 species